rnacentral:rRNA from 1 species
GUCGAACGAUAUUUUCCAGCUUGCUGGAAGAAAAAGUGGCGCACGGGUGCGUAACGCGUAUGCAACCUACCUUAAUCAGGGGGAUAGCCCGAAGAAAUUCGGAUUAACACCGCAUAAAAUCACAGCACAGCAUUGUGUAAUGAUCAAAUAUUUAUAGGAUUAAGAUGGGCAUGCGUGACAUUAGUUAGUUGGCGGGGUAACGGCCCACCAAGACCACGAUGUCUAGGGGAUCUGAGAGGAUGACCCCCCACACUGGUACUGAGACACGGACCAGACUCCUACGGGAGGCAGCAGUAAGGAAUAUUGGUCAAUGGAGGCAACUCUGAACCAGCCAUGCCGCGUGCAGGAAGACAGCCCUCUGGGUCGUAAACUGCUUUUAUUCGGGAAUAAACCUCGUUACGUGUAACGAGCUGAAUGUACCGAAGGAAUAAGGAUCGGCUAACUCCGUGCCAGCAGCCGCGGUAAUACGGAGGAUCCAAGCGUUAUCCGGAUUUAUUGGGUUUAAAGGGUGCGUAGGCGGCUUUUUAAGUCAGGGGUGAAAGACGGUAGCUCAACUAUCGCAGUGCCCUUGAUACUGAAGAGCUUGAAUGGACUAGAGGUAGGCGGAAUGUGACAAGUAGCGGUGAAAUGCAUAGAUAUGUCACAGAACACCGAUUGCGAAGGCAGCUUACUAUGGUUUUAUUGACGCUGAGGCACGAAAGCGUGGGGAUCAAACAGGAUUAGAUACCCUGGUAGUCCACGCCCUAAACGAUGAAUACUCGCUGUUAGCGAUACACAGUUAGCGGCUAAGCGAAAGCGUUAAGUAUUCCACCUGGGGAGUACGGUCGCAAGAUUGAAACUCAAAGGAAUUGACGGGGGCCCGCACAAGCGGAGGAGCAUGUGGUUUAAUUCGAUGAUACGCGAGGAACCUUACCCGGGCUUGAAAGUUAGUGAAUCAUUUAGAGAUAGAUGAGUCCGCAAGGACACGAAACUAGGUGCUGCAUGGCUGUCGUCAGCUCGUGCCGUGAGGUGUUGGGUUAAGUCCCGCAACGAGCGCAACCCCUAUGUUUAGUUGCCAGCACGUCAUGGUGGGGG